CUCAAACGCCGUCAAGCCCUAGGGUUGAGAGAGAAAGAGAGCGCCACGUGAGAGAGAGAAAGAAGCGAAGCUGCCAAUGUCGCGCCUCGUCCAUACCCUCAUUCGGGGGAUCCACUGGUGGUCAAGAAGAUUCACGAGGGACGACUGAAGCCACGAGGGACGACUGAAGCCUAGCGGGUGAGAAUUCCUCCCCUGACUACAUAAAAUUUCCAUCAUUCGCACCACACCGAAGACAGGGCUCUGCAUUAGCCAAUAACCGGUAAUAACUCCUCUGAAUCAUUCGCCUUGGUUUCCUAUACGUGUAGCUUUCCUCGAUUUGAAAUUUUGUGUGCGGGGUUGAAGAUUGGCUGUCAUCGCAAUGUCCACCACCGUAGCAUCCGGCGGUGUCGCGCGCGGGGCACUCGGCCUGUGUGGGGGAAUGGUCGGGAAUAGAUCUAAGGUGUUUUAAAUCCUGGCCACCGAUCGUGGAUCGGAUGGCUAUCGUUGAGUACCAGUUCACAUAAGGAUCGAUCUAAUUGGGGCCGUUAACCCUAGAUCGGGCAGCUCACAUGUCAUGAUACCCCUUCGGUCGCAUUAGUUUUGUAAAAGAACCCCUUUAAUUUUUACUAUUCAACCCGCACUCGGCUUCAACUCAUAAGAAAUUAGAUCUGGGCCCUAUUUUUAAUACUUUAAACCCUGGAUUACCUCAUAAUAGUACCCGCGGUACAUAUAAGGUUUGGGAUUUAUAAAAUGAAGCAGAAAAUUGAUUUUCAAUAUAAAAAUAAAUCAAAAAACUUAGAAAAUGUAUAACUUAUCUGUAUUAACUCCAAUUUUAGUGGUUCUCGAGCCUACGAUCUCAUAGCGACAUGUAGAACUUUAUUAUAUAGUUUGUUCUCAUGUUUGGUGUGAUGUUAAUUUUGCCUAUACAAUGUUUGUUUGUAUUGUUCCGAGUAGACGAGCAAGCAACUAAGGAACCCAAAGCACAGUAGAUUGAAGAUUCUGAGCUAGAGCUCGCAGAAGACAAGUUGUGCCCUUGAUCACUCUUCUUUAUCUAAUAAUGUUCCCCAUAAUCAGUAUGACAUGCUCAGGUUAAUUUGAUGGGACCUAAUAGGUUACCCUAGUUUGGUCUACUCUAUACCUUGCUUACCACUGAACUAUUGGGUAGUAUUUGCUAUUGCUCUAUGUGGUUUUAGGUGUUAUGAUGCAUAUUAUUCAUGAUCAUGCCUAUUACUGUCAAUAGACUCUUUGUUGUUCAUGAUAAGAUUAUUUUGGUUAAUUGGAACAUUUAGCGACCACCUAAGAUAAUAGUGCUACCACAAGGGUGGAAUGAGACGCUCUUGGCUAAUUAAUUAGGAAAGCUAGUGUGAGUUAAUCCUUUCCCGAAAGGGGCAAGCGGGGUGGAGUGCAGGUGUAGGGAGGUCCUCGGGUCGGACUGUCUAUAAAUCUUUUCUGAUGAGAGAUUCCUAUAUCGCCUUCGGCCUAGAAUCCAUAGUGAGUUCUCUCCUCUAGUGGAACUUUGGAAAGGCCUCGUAGUGCUACCAUGCCUCAUCUCCUAUGUAGAGAUGAAUAGGAUUAGAGACCCCUUGGCAAAUGGGUAAACACGUCUUGUGGGUAAAUAUGUGUAACCUCUGCAGAGUGUAAAACUAGUAUAUCUGUCAUGCUCAUGGUCAUGAGCGGUACGGACCCUGACAUGAGUAACUUAUGGAAUUAAACUUAAUCUAAAAUUUGCAUUGCAUUGUAGGAUUUAUUAUUAAAUGUGAUCUCUUAUUUAAUUUGGUUGGUAUACACUUAUACUUAGUGAUUGCUCAUAAAUUUUUUAAGAACUUAUUAAAAGCAAUGCUCAGGUUUAACCAUUAUUUGUUGAUAAGCCUUACACUACACAUGAGCCCCCACCAUAAGUGAGCUCAUGCACAUUAUUCACCACACUUGCUGAGCAAUGAACGUCUGUGAGCUCACUCUUGCUAUAAACCCUCCAGGUGAAGAGUAGGUACCGCCGGAGGAGGAUUACUACGAUGAGUUUGAUGAGAUCUAGGUGUCAUCUCCCAGUUAACUGUUGGCGCCGAGGACAUAGUUAUCUUAGUUUGAUUUAUUUAUUUAUUUAUUUAUUUAUUUAUUAUUUGCUAUUUUGUAAGACAUUCUCGUUAUAUAAUAAAGUUUGUGACAUUCGUCUCUAUACACUGAGUCAUUGUAUGUGUGUAUUUCGAUUUGGCGCACAUAUGAGACGCACCCGGGGUUGCCACGAAAUCCGGUUGUGAUAAUUACCUUGACCUCACUCUUGCGUGUAGUCUCCUGUACUACUCCACCCAUCACUUAGGUCCCCUUUAGGAGGGCUCUGGCUCCUCUCCUUGGCUUCUCUGGAUGAGCCAGAGUUGUUUUACAAUUCGUUUGGCAAAACGGCUUCUCCUGUGUUUAUUUCGAAUGAUGUAUGAGAAAAGUGUAGGAGCCGGUAGAAGCCAGGUUUUAAAAUGGCUCUCUCGACGAGAAUCCAUUUUUGGACCAUUUGGCAGGGCUUCGCGAGGAGCUAAAGCUAGAGCCGCCAAAGAGCCAUGCCAAAGGGACCCUUACUUGUGUCUAGAUUACAGUUUUGUUGCCCACAUAUUAGAACAAACCGAGUAUAAAUUGAUUGUUUGAGGCUGUAAACAAAACAAUUGUCAACUAAAAAAAUAAAUAAUUUUUUUAUUUUCUACAACUUUUAUUUUGGUACUUUUUCAUCCGACAUCGUUUACAAAAUUUGCAUUUGAAAGUUUGUCAUAUUGAUAUGCAAUUUUGAUAGCCCAAAUGAUUUCAAAUGAAAACGUUGUCAACUACAAAGUUUCACAACUUAUAUAGACCUAGAACUUUCAUUUUGGUGGUUUUUCAUACAAGGUCAAUUGGAAAACUAAAAAAUUCGAUUUCAAAUGAUUUCUACAGGCGUUUUUCUUCAGAAACAUCAGUAGAAAUCAUAUUUGUACAGACGGUUCUAAGAAAAUCGCGUGGUACAAAUGGCUCAAUUUCUACUGGCAGUUUACUUAAGGAAUCGCCCGUACACAUAUGAUUUCUACUCACGGUUUCUUAACUAAAUCGCUAGUGAAAAAGUGUUUCUACUGUCGGUUCUUGAGUCAGGACGACCAAUUUAUUUUCAUUGGCCCUCAAUAACCAAAACCACAUGUAAAACUUAUACCUCCCUAUAGGCAUAGAUCUUUUUUACAAGUGUCAGUCGCAAAGAACGUCUUUACCGAGUGCUAGACAAAAAAUGGUUGGCAAAAAAUACUUGGCAAAUAGCUUCUUUGCCGAGUGUCUUUUUUUACACUAGGCAAAGGGUUUUUCUGCCGAGUGUCUUUUUAAACUAGACAAAAACAAUUUGAAAAUCACAUUUUGAAGUCGUAAAUUAAUUCAAAUGAAAAAUUUUCAACUUCAAUGUUAUAUAACUCAUCAAGAUGUACAAUUUUUGUUUUGGUCAUUUCUUUACAUGACAAAAUGGAGAAGGUUAAAUAAAAGGAUGAAGAUGAAAAAGAGAGUGGAUAAAAUUGCAGAAAACAUUAAAUAUGAAUGAAGCAUAAGUCAAACAUGUAACAUAUGGUUCAACCUUAGAAGAUAUUACUUUCUUUCCCUUCUUCCAUACUUAAUAAAAGAUUACAUAAAUACCUUUGGCUUCAUAAGAUUACAAGAACAAGGUAAAGAAGGUACAAUUUCGUAGGUGAAACAGGAUACUUUUCUCCAGUCAAAAGAUCUGAAAAAUGCAUGUCAAUGUCCUUCUAUUUAUAGGCGCGACGUACAGUUUCGACGAAAUUACAAUCAUGUCCUCAAGCGUACACAUUUAAUCUAGCACAUAUACUAAAGAUAGCGCUAUAUUUUCCUCAUGCCGUCUUGUUGAGCAAGUCUUGAUGACUUCUCGUAGUUUCAUCCCACUUAUACAUUGUUAAUCCGAAGCUUGUGUUUUUGCAUUUGCGUUCAUUGAUAGCGUUGACCGAAGAUGAGCUUCGGCACUAUACCUAUGACACUUAAAAUAAGCUAGAAAUAGCUUAUUAAAGUUAGUGUUUUGAGGACCUUCGAAAGAGGAAGGCUCCCAAUAGUAUGAUGAAAAUGAAAUGUAUACUUAGUUUGAAAAGGGCCUAGCUCAUGAAACUAAGAAGAAUUAAAUUUUGACUGAUGAGCUAAAUGUUUGCAAUGAUUAAAUUACUUGUCUUAAGCUUGAAAUUAUGGAUCUUGAUGCUAAGAUUAAGGAAUUGAACUCUUGUCAUGUUUCUACAUCUUUAGUUAAACAUGUUUCUAUUUGCAAUAGAUGCCAAGGUGUAGAUAUUAAUGCUCUUGUUGAUAAUAUUCCUAUGAUCAAAAGUUUGAAUAAUCAUGUCACAAAACUAGAGGAAAAGGUUGUCGAGCAUGAAUUGGAGUAUGAAAAGUAAAAUUUGCUCGCAACAUUCUUUUGAGUGGAAGACGCCCAAGCAUUAAGGAUGGUGUUGGCUUCCAAACCGGAGGCAAAGAGAACACCAAUUAUAAUGCCAAUGUAAAGGGAUUUGUAGAAUUUGUUAGGGGCAAAGCUCGAAUUGUUCUUGAUCAUGAUUCUUAUAAUUCCUAUCCUAAGAAUAGUCAUGCUAAGAAUGAUCAUGCUAAGAACACUCAUAUUCAUCAUACACAUGUCUCUAAUGCAAAAGCAUAUCAUUCUAGGCAUUUUGGUUCACAUGCUAAAGUUUCUCAAAUGCCUAAGAAGAAAAUUAAGAAUGCAUCAACCGGACCACAUAUGUCAUUCCAUACCUUUGAUGCAUCUUAUCUGCUUACUAACAAAUACGGCAAAGUAGUUGCCAAAUAUGUUGGUCCCCGGCACAAGAGCAGUAAAACUUGUGUUUGGGUUCUAAAGGUGCUUGUUACGAAUGUAAAAGGACCCAUGACCAUUUGGGCACCUAAGAACAAGGCCUAAUUUGUUUUUGUAGGUUUAUGCAUCCAGAGGCACAAGUUGGGU
rnacentral:lncRNA from 1 species